AAAUCAACUCAAUUAAGUCAGUAA
rnacentral:misc_RNA from 1 species